GAUAAACGCUGGCGGCGUGCAUGAGACAUGCAAGUCGAACGAAGGAUCGGGCUUGCUCGAUCCUUAGUGGCGGACGGCUGAGUAACGCGUAGGUGACCUACCCCGCAGUGGGGAAUAACUGCCCGAAAGGGUUGCUAAUACCGCAUGUGGUCGCACGUUCAUUCGUGCGAGUAAAGCCGCAAGGCGCUUCGGGAGGGGCCUGCGUCCGAUUAGCUCGUUGGUGGGGUAAUGGCUUACCAAGGCGACGAUUGGUAGGUGGUCUGAGAGGACGAUCACCCAGACUGGGAAUGAGACACGGCCCAGACUCCUACGGGAGGAAGCAGGCGGGAAUUAUGCUCAAUGGGGGAAACACUGAAGCAGCAACGCCGCGUGAGGGAUGAAGGCCUUCGGGUUGUAAACCUCUUUUGUCAGGGACGAUGAUGACGGUACCUGGCGAAUAAGCCACGGCUAACUACGUG
rnacentral:rRNA from 1 species